rfam:Trichobilharzia regenti genome assembly, scaffold: TRE_scaffold0004345
AUCCAGCCGACGAGUCCCAAAUAGGACGAAAUGUGCAUCCUGGAU